UUUUUUUAUUUUUUAUUUUUUUGAGACGGAGUCUCGCUCUGUCGCCCAGGCUGGAGUGCAGUGGCCGGAUCUCAGCUCACUGCAAGCUCCACCUCCCGGGUUUACGCCAUUUUCCUGCCUCAGCCUCCCAAGUAGCUGGGACUACAGGCUCGCCACCUCACCGGCUAGUUUUUUUUUGUAUUUCUUUAGUAGAGACGGGGUUUCGCCGUGUUAGCCAGCAUGGUCUCGAUCUCCUGACCUCGUGAUCCGCCUGUCUCGGCCUCCCAAAGUGCUGGGAUUACAGGCUUGAGCCACCGCGCCUGGCCUGAAGUUAUUUAGAGAAUCUCUAAGAUACAAGUGGAGAGACAGCUGGAAGGGGCAGCACCCAGGCCUUCGGUGUGGGGACAGAGUUAAGAUCCACAUGAUCACAGCAGACUGAUACGGGGAGCCGAAACAAACGGGAAAACAUUUGAGCCUGAUACUCGGUUCCAAAACUCAGUCGCUGAAAGGCGUAAUAGGGGAGUGCAGAUUGGAGGGUCAUGCCCAUGAAAACAAAUACAGGUGUUUCAUUUUGUUCUUGUUGCCAUCAGAAAUGCUACAUACAAAUAUGACACCAUCCCAAACUGCACUCACAGAAUAGUGAGUAGUGUGUCGGCCAGGGCAAGAAAAAUAAGAGCAAUAAUAGUUAUUUUAGUUAUUGUAGGCCAAGGGACCCACAUCCACAAUAUCGUUUGUUUACAGCUCAUUACUAAAUCCUCACAAUAACCCCGUGGGUAGAUGUUAGUGUUAUUACCAUUUUAUAGAUGCGCACACUGGAGCUUAGCGAGGGUAAGUAGUGGACUGCAAGGACGCUCUGCCCCUGGCCCGGAGGAACAGCUGGAGGAUGCCGGCAAGAUGUGUGUGAAGGGGGUCGUGCAGAGCGGCAGUCAACUGAUUCAGGAUUACUCAUUAAUGUAGAACUCCAACCAGUGAGUGGAGGGUAUGGGUUCAGUAGGGAGCUCUUCAGAAAUGGAACACGUUGAGAGGCCAGGAGUUCUCUAUCCCUGAAAGCAUUUAAGGAGAGGUUGGGUGGCUGUGGGAGGUAUUGGAGAAGGGAUUUUAACAUGGGGAGGGAACUGGGGAGAUGAUGUGUGAGUUUCUGUCUGGAAAAAAAAAGAUGGUACCAGCCUUGAACCUGUGUAAUCUUCUUUAGUAAUAUUCAAGCAAGAACAGACAUCAUAAAAUUGUGUGAGCAAAUCAGGUAAUACUGGUGAAAGCCAAACACAGGCUCCCCGUUGUGGGAGUGAGAACAUGGCAUUGUUAGGGUGAUGGAUUCAUGCACCCUGGGGUGGGUGUGCUGAUGGCUUCUUUUGCUUCUGCUUCUACAGGCCCCUCUCCCAAUGCCUUUCCCAAAUCUCUCCUUAUGGGGAUUUUUUCCCCCUCCUAAACCACCUUAACUUGAAAUCCACUCACAUUUGUAGCCAUUUCACAGUCUCUUUGCGUAUUGGUGAGCCCUGUGGGGGUCACUGGUAUCUUAUAGUAUUGAGGUUACAAAAUGUAAAGUUAUUCUGGGGAAAUUCCUUCUCUUCUGAAGUUUUAAUAGGGAGAAGGUGGUGAGCUUAACCCUACACACUGUCCUUUCCUUUGUCUAAUUCCUCCACAGGACAUUUGUCCAGUGCCCACUGUGGACUGGAAGUG
ensembl:lncRNA